AGCCUGGGCAAUAGAGUGAGACUCCAUCUCAAAACAAAACAAAACAAAACAAAAAAACAAACAAAAAACAACCUAUGUCUGAUCUUGUCACCCUUCUGAAACCAUCCAGUGGUUCCUACCUCAGUAGCAGUCAAAGGCAAAGUCAAACAGUGACCCCCUCAUGGCACGCAUCUGCUGACCUACAACUGGGCAGUGAAUAUAGACAUUUGCAUUUACCUGUCUGGAACUUGGUCAUUUUCGUUUGGGCCUGUUGUGUCAGCUUGUCCGAGCUCUCUUGGAUCCUCUUUUCAACAUAUUGCCAUAAUAAAUUAUUCCUCUCAGGUUUAUGUCACUGGUUAGCAAGGUGCUAACCAGUCUGCCCCCACGACCACUUCAGAGCCUUUGGACUUGCUCUUUUCUUCGCCGGGUUCUCUGGGAUAUCCUGUGGAUCACAAAAUAACCCUUCAAGUCAUCGCUGAAAUCAUCUGUGUGAGACUUUCCUGACUACCUUGUUUUAUGUUGUAAACCAGUUUCCGAGUACUCCUGCCCCCUUUCUGCUUUAUUUUACUCCAUAUCUUACUCAUUUGUUUAUUAUCAUCUUUCCUUAUCACAACCUUAGCUUCAUAAAGUUAUGCCCUCUUUAUUCAUACUCAACACAUUUGCGAAAGCAAAACGUGAAUUGCAUUGCAUUGCAUUGCUCUUCCAUUUAGCAAUUUGGAAUGGCUUCCCAUUUGCAUUUAGAAACAUGAGUCCAAACUCCUUUCUACAGUUUAUAAGGCCCUGCAUAAUCUCCCCACUGCCUGUCUUUCCACCCUCUUCUCAUCCACCCUUCCCCUGUCCAUUCAGUGGAGCCUCCGUGGUUUGCCUUUAGCUUCUCAGACAUGCCAUGGCCUUUGGACAAACAUCUUCCACAUAUAUUCUUUCCCACUCUUCCUUUGCUUAACCAGCUCUUUUUCUUUCUUUUGGUUUCCAAUUCAAUGUCUCUACUUCACUGGCUACUAAUGUAUACUCUGUUAUUCUCUCACAGCACCUCAUUCCCCUCCUUCAUGGAGCUUAUUAUAAGUUUUUUAUUAUUUUAUUGUUCAUUUGCUUUUAAACAAUCAGUUUCUUCCAUUAAAAUGUAGGUUGUUUGAGGACAGAGACUUUUACUUGUCUUAUUCUCUUUUGUAUUCAGUGCCCCAGUGCCCUGAUUGCAAUUAGGGUCACAGUAACUGGAUGGAUAGGUGGGUGAAGAGAUGGCCAAGUGACUGCCUCAAGUAACACAGUAACUGGAUGGAUAGGUGGGUGAAGAGAUGGCCAAGUGACUGCCUCAAGUAACACAGUAACUGGAUGGAUAGGUGGGUGAAGAGAUGGCCAAGUGACUGCCUCAAGUAACACAGUAACUGGAUGGAUAGGUGGGUCAAGAGAUGGCCAAGUGACUGCCUCAAGUAACACAGUAACUGGAUGGAUAGGUGGGUCAAGAGAUGGCCAGUUGACUGCCUCAAGUAACACAGUAACUGGAUGGAUAGGUGGGUGAAGAGACGGCCAAGUGACUGCCUCAAGUAACACAGUAACUGGAUGGAUAGGUAGGUGAAGAGAUGGCCAAGUGACUGCCUCAAGUAAAUUUCUCAUUUUACUACCCACUACCCAAUGAAUCUGAACAAGUUACUGAAAAUGUGCAAGCUUCAGUUUUCCUCUUUGUAAAAUGAGGAUAGAUACAAUGCCUACCUUAUAGGAUUUUGUAAAAUUUUAGGUCAUCUAUGUUAACCUCAUAGUACAAUGCAUGACAUGUAAUAAUUGCUCAAUACACACUAAUAAUUACUAGUUUUACUAAUACUGUGAUCCUUAGCUUUUCCACCUUCAUCUCUCUCCCAUCUGUGUCCCAUUUUAUCACAUUGCUUUCCAGAGUCGUGAUGAUUACUGAAUAUGAGACUGCUAGUUUGAACUGCCCAGUGCAUAGCAGUGGAGCUAUUGCCUAAGCUUAUGUUAAUCUAGCAUCAGAGCCAACUAUCAUUUGCCUUAUUGUUUAUCAAAUAUGUCUCAUUGUAAAUUCUUAUUGAGCUUAAAAUUCAAUUAAAACCCCUCAUGGCACGCAUCUGCUGACCUACAACUGGGUGGUGAAUAUAGACAUUUGCAUUUACCUGUCUGGAACUUGGUCAUUUUCGUUUGGGCCUGUCGUGUCAGCUUGUCCGAGCUCUCUUGGAUCCUCUUUUCAACAUAUUGCCAUAAUAAAUUCUUCCUCUGAGGUUUGUGUCACAGACACAUUUGAUCAGCACAUCGGUGGCAUCCUCAUUAAAGUCAGUGGUCUAAAUAGUAUAGCACAGAGAGCAUCACAGAGCCUAUGACCUGCAGCUUCCUUGUAAUUUGAUAUUUGCUGUUCUGUCUUCCAUGUGAUUUGUUCUAAUUGAUGUUUAAGAACCAGAUCAUGUUUAUUUUUCUGUUUAAGAACCAGACCAUUGCCUUCUUCAAAAUAAUUCUAGUCAAAUAAAAAAAUUAUUUUUAUGCCUACUGUGUGUAAGUAGCUUGCCUAGAUACCGAUGAACCAUGUGACAGAAGCUUGCCUUGAUGGUGGGCAAUGAGGAAAUCGGGCAUGGAUGGCUAAGAAAUCAAAGUGCCGUUGUAAAUAUGGAGCAGAUUUGUAGUUUGGCAGGAUAUAAACCCGUGUUGGGAAACUCCCAAUGAGAGGUCAAAAUUGAAAUGGGGCUGUCUGAAAUUCCAUUUUGUUCAUCUAGAUAACCUGGAUAAAUGGGCUAAAUUGGAAAUUUGAGUCUUAAAAUCAUUUUUUUGAGAUUUCUCCUAUUCAUUCUAUUGACUUACUCUCCAUUUUAAAGUCUUUUGUCCUAAUCAUUUACCCUAUAUCUCUCUGUUCUAUGCCUAUUUUAUUUUUCUUUAUGAAAAUGGGUGAAAGCAGGAAUUUUGCUAGUUUUCUAAUUAUCACAGCAUAUAAAUUCAGUAAUGUAUGUGAAAGUGUUUUCUAAACUAUGAAAAGCUGUAUACAUACAUAGGAAUAGAAUGGAUUGUCAAUAAAUUGAAGAGAUGAGUUUACUCCUUUGUAUGUGGAAGCUGUUAAUUUAAAAUAACACACUCAAAAUAUUAGCUAAAAAUCUACUUCACAUUUUGGUGCUGCUUGCUAAAAUUAGUUAGAAAAUAUAGGUUAUUUUUGAGUUAAAACCAAGUUCAAUAAAUUCUUAAGUUCCUCAAAUAGAAUUUUACAGAAAUAUUUACAUAACCCACAGCUAAAGUGAGUUUUCUAAGAACUCCCCAUAAGGUGAGAUCACGUACACCAUGUCUCAGUACAGAAGGAUUUUUUUUUCAAUCAGUUAUGUCUCUAUAAAUAAACCUAGUUUUGUUGUUAAAA